AACGAACGCUGGCGGCAUGCCUAACACAUGCAAGUCGAACGAGACCUUCGGGUCUAGUGGCGCACGGGUGCGUAACGCGUGGGAAUCUGCUCUUGGGUUCGGAAUAACAGUUGGAAACGACUGCUAAUACCGGAUGAUGACGUAAGUCCAAAGAUUUAUCGCCCAGGGAUGAGCCCGCGUAGGAUUAGCUAGUUGGUGGGGUAAAGGCCUACCAAGGCGACGAUCCUUAGCUGGUCUGAGAGGAUGAUCAGCCACACUGGGACUGAGACACGGCCCAGACUCCUACGGGAGGCAGCAGUGGGGAAUAUUGGACAAUGGGCGAAAGCCUGAUCCAGCAAUGCCGCGUGAGUGAUGAAGGCCUUAGGGUUGUAAAGCUCUUUUACCCGGGAUGAUAAUGACAGUACCGGGAGAAUAAGCCCCGGCUAACUCCGUG
rnacentral:rRNA from 1 species